rnacentral:rRNA from 1 species
AGGACUAACGCUGGCGGCGUGCCUAACACAUGCAAGUCGAACGAGGUAGCAAUACCUAGUGGCAGACGGGUGAGUAACGCGUGGUCAACCUACCUCUUAGUGGGGGAUAACUAGCCGAAAGGUUAGCUAAUACCGCAUACGAUCGUCGCGAGGCAUCUCGUGACGAUGAAAGGAGCAAUUCGCUAAGAGAGGGGACUGCGUCCCAUUAGUUAGUUGGUGGGGUAAUGGCCCACCAAGACUCCGAUGGGUAGCUGGCUUGAGAGAGCGACCAGCCACACUGGAACUGAGACACGGUCCAGACUCCUACGGGAGGCAGCAGUGAGGAAUUUUCCGCAAUGGGCGCAAGCCUGACGGAGCGACGCCGCGUGUGGGAAGAAGGCCUUCGGGUCGUAACCACUGUCGAAGGGGACGAUAUUGACGGUACCUUGGAGGAGCCCGGCUACUACGCGCCAGCAGCCGC